CUCAACUCCGUGAUGGACCGGAAACUGAAAGGAUUGAGUCAUGCAGAGGCACCUGGAAUGCCAUGUGUAGGGGUAAAAUCCGUUGAUCCAUGGUAGAACGCCAAAAGCGAAAGCAGGGUGCUGGGCAUGUACUGACGCUCAGGGACGAAAGCGUGGGGAGCGAAGGGGAUUAGAUACCCCCGUAGUCCACGCCCUAAACGAUGUGUGCUCGGUGUAGGAACGUUCAAUCUGUUUCUGUGCCUUAGCUAACGCGGUAAGCACACCGCCUGAGUAGUACGAUCGCAAGAUUAAAACUUAAAGGAAUAGACGGGGACCCACACAAGCGGUGGAGCAUGGGGUUUAAUUCGAUAAUAAGCGGAGAACCUCACCCAGACUUGACAUCCCGGGAAUCUUUUAGAAAUAAAAGAGUGCCUUUCGGAACCC
rnacentral:rRNA from 1 species